rnacentral:snRNA from 1 species
GUGCUCCCUCCAACAGCACAUAAACAAAAAUUGGAGGAGCACAGAGAAGAUUUGGCAUGGCCUCUACACAAGGAUAAAAUUCAAGUUCACAAUGUUCCAUAUUUAU